rnacentral:lncRNA from 1 species
UUGGAGCUCUAGCUCACCUCUCUGGUAUUAUUCUUGUAUUCAUCUGAUUAAUCUAAUUCUUACCAGUUUUUCUUGAACUUCUUGUUAGAUCUUGAGCUUGUAUUUUUGUGUCUGUGAUACUUGAAGUUCUUUCUAAAGAUAUAAAAAAAAAAUUGAAAGGAUUUUGGAGGACUUAGCAAUUCUUGUUCAAAGUCAGGAUUUGUAUCUGGGAUUUGGAUUUUAUAUAAAAUAAUUAAGACUAAAAAUUUUGGCUAGUUUGUGCAAUUGGUGUGACAUCUAUAGUUGAAAAUUUAUUACUAUUUGGAUUAUUGGGUGUGCUAAGUGUAUACAAAAUUUUGUGAUAAUCUAAUAGCGUGGUUUAGAGAUAUCUAGUUUUUAGCACAAGAGGAUUUUGGAAGGUGGCAGUUUGAGGUAGUGCAGGGUUUCAAUGAUAUCUAAAGAUCUAUCAAUCGGAUUAAAGUAAAAAUUGGCAUGGUAUUAAAGGACUUGAAGAUCAAGCUACACACCAAUUUUGAAACAAAGUUAACGGUUGGAAAGGGAGAAAUCAUUAUUGGGAUUUUUGCUUCAUUUUUCAAGUUGGCAUCCAAGUGACAUCAGUGCAAUUUUUGGAGGUUUUCUUACAAUCUAUAAGUUAGAUUGGGCUAAAAAUUCUUGAGCAUAUAGGAGAUUUAUAUUGUCAAUUGCAUGAAAAAUUCCACAUCAAGUGGAUGGUCAGAUUGGAUGUUAUAGCUUCUUAAAGCUCAUUGAUUAGGAUUGGAGCUUACAAGAAAAAUCUAAGUUACUUAAAUAUGAGAGUAAUAAGGUAAUUGGGAUUUAUGUAUAGUUAAGACUACUAAGAAGAGUAUUU